rnacentral:rRNA from 1 species
CGGGUGAGGAACACGUGAAGAACCUGCCCUGGACUCUGGGAUAACAGUUGGAAACGACUGCUAAUACCGAUGUCGUUGUUGGAGUCGCAUGGCCCUACAACGAAAGUUUUUCGGUUCAGGAGGGCUUCGCGGCCUAUCAGCUAGUUGGUGAGGUAAAGGCUCACCAAGGCAUCGACGGGUAGCUGGUCUGAGAGGAUGAUCAGCCACACUGGGACUGAGACACGGCCCAGACUCCUACGGGAGGCAGCAGUGGGGAAUCUUGCGCAAUGGGCGGAAGCCUGACGCAGCAACGCCGCGUGCGGGAAGAAGGCUUUAGGGUUGUAAACCGCUUUCAGCAGGGAAGAAAAUGACGGUACCUGCAGAAGAAGGUGCGGCCAACUACGUGCCAGCAGCCGCGGUGACACGUAGGCACCAAGCGUUGUCCGGAUUUAUUGGGCGUAAAGAGCUCGUAGGCGGUUCAGUAAGUCGGGUGUGAAAACUCUGGGCUUAACCCAGAGCCGCCACCCGAUACUGCUGUGACUUGAGUCCGGUAGGGGAGCGGGGAAUUCCUGGUGUAGCGGUGAAAUGCGCAGAUAUCAGGAGGAACACCGGUGGCGAAGGCGCCGCUCUGGGCCGAGACUGACGCUGAGGAGCGAAAGCAUGGGUAGCAAACAGGAUUAGAUACCCUGGUAGUCCAUGCCGUAAACGUUGGGCACUAGGUGUGGGCAUCAACCAACGAUGUCCGCGCCGUCGCUAACGCAUUAAGUGCCCCGCCUGGGGAGUACGGUCGCAAGACUAAAACUCAAAGGAAUUGACGGGGGCCCGCACAAGCAGCGGAGCGUGUUGCUUAAUUCGAUGCUACGCGAAGAACCUUACCUAGGUUUGACAUG